UGUGGGGAAACAAAUAAGGGAUGCUGUGCCCCUAUGGCUGAUCUGGCUGGCUAGGCGGGUGUCCCCUUCCUCCCUCCCCACUCCAUGUGUGUCCCUCCCAAAGCUCUGUGCCUUCCCCGAAUAGAGACGGACUGGUCUUUGGUCAAGGGUAUAGGAGUAGCAGUGCUCCCCUGCUAGAACCUCCAAACAAGCUCCCAGAAUACAUAUAACCUCACUUUUCUGCUGAUGCUUGUACGUCUGUCCACUUGCAUUUGCCAAGCCUUCUGGAC
ensembl:misc_RNA 7SK 7SK RNA